rnacentral:sRNA from 1 species
UGUGAAACAGAGGACGAAGAAGAAGAAGAAGGAGAUAGA